rnacentral:rRNA from 1 species
UGGGGAAUAUUGGACAAUGGGCGCAAGCCUGGUCCAGCCAUACCGCGUGGGUGAAGAAGGCCUUCGGGUUGUAAAGCUCUUUUGUUGGGAAAGAAAUCCUGUCGGUUAAUAACCGGUAGGGAUGACGGUACCCAAAGAAUAAGCACCGGCUAACUUCGCGCCAGCAGCCGCGGUAAUACGAAGGGUGCAAGCGUUACUCGGAAUUACUGGGCGUAAAGUGUGCGUAGGUGGUUGUUUAAGUCUGCUGUGAAAGCCCUGGGCUCAACCUGGGAAUUGCAGUGGAUACUGGGCGACUAGAGUGUGGUGGAGGACAGUGGAAUUUCCGGUGUAGCAGUGAAAUGCGUAGAGAGCGGAAGAAACAUCUGUGGCGAAGGCGACUGUCUGGGCCUGUACUGACGCUCAUGCACGAAAGCGUGGGGAGCAAAC